GAUGAAGAACGUAGCGAAAUGCGAUAAGUAAUGUGAAUUGCAGAAUUCAGUGAAUCAUCGAAUCUUUGAACGCACAUUGCGCCUGCCAGUAUUCUGGCGGGCAUGCCUGUUCGAGCGUCAUUUCAACCCUCAAGCCCCUCCGGGCUUGGUGCUGGGGCUCGGCCCCCCGCUCACCGAGCGCGGCCGGCUCUGAAAACUAGUGGCGGUCUCGCUGCAGCCUCCCCUGCGUAGUAGCACAUCUCGCACUGGAGCGCGGCGCGGCCACGCCGGCAAAACCGUUGCCCCCCGGGCAAACUUCAUAAGGUUGACCUCGGAUCAGGUAGGGAUACCCGCUGAACUUAAGCAUAUCAAUAAGCGGAGGA
rnacentral:misc_RNA from 1 species